GCACUUGCACACACACACACACACACACACACACACAUGCAUCGUUCAUUGCAUUGGAAAGGGGGGUAGAGCCUUGCGCACAGAGCUGAGCAGCCUCUCAAUGGGAGACCAGAGCUGAGAGACGCGGGGGAACCGUCGCGGAGCUGGGACGAAUCGCCCAUCAGAAGCUUCACAAAGUGAAGAGGCAAAUUAAGUCUGCAUCACCACGAGGCUUUUCACCUUCAGAGGCAGGAACAGAGGAGGGCAGAGAAGUGGUAGAAAAAGAGCAGUCCUUUCAAAUGAUUUAGAGGUGAGAUGACUAGCCCUCCAUCUUCUAAACCUUGGCUAGUUUUUGACAGCAUUUCUUGGCUCUGAGGUUUCUUCCUGUUUUUUUUUCCCUCUGGUUUUUCUUUUUCUUGGGGUGUCAGUGCUUGUAGGAUUGCAGACUGACUGAAGCUGGGAGAGGGGACUAUUUGAGACGCUGAGGAAAAACAAAAGAGCUUCUGGAUUCUGCAGUUGGUUCUGCUCUUACUGGGAACUUUUUGUUACAAAUCUCAUCUGGUCUGAGACCAUGGGUGGAUUAAGGAGAAUGUGCUGAGACUGUCGGGUAAAGAAGAACAUACCUCCAACCAUCUGACCAGAAAACUCAGAUUCCUGCCAUGUCCUGGUUUGUGUCCCUGUGGAUUAGCCUGAGCCUGUUUGUUCUGUGCCAGGCCACCCUUUAUGAGACCAUCCAGCAGCACCAUGUGGCCAGGCCAGGGCACAACGCUAUUCAGAUCCUAGAGGGAGGUACGUGUGAAGUCAUCGCUGCCCAUCGGUGCUGUAAUAAGAACCGCAUCGAGGAGAGGUCCCAGACAGUCAAGUGUUCCUGUCUGCCCGGGAAAGUGGCGGGGACGACGCGCAACAAGCCCUCAUGUGUAGAUGCAUCCAUCGUGAUUGGGAAGUGGUGGUGUGAGAUGGAGCCCUGCCUGGAGGGAGAGGAGUGCAAGACGCUGCCUGACAACUCCGGAUGGAUGUGCGCGUCUGGGAAUAAGAUCAAGACCACCAGGAACACCCAGCCAUACUCACCUUUUUAGCUCCGGAAGCAAAAUGCAGGGGAUGAUCCAACAGAAACCGAGCUGCAUUCUUGCUUCCGUAAAGAUUCAUCCAAGGACCUAACAAAGAACCACCUCGCAGGGACUAAGCGUGGAUUCCCUCAAAUCAGAACAGACUAAACCAUUACAUCACGGGCGACUGACUGGACUACCUGUGACCAACAGAAGGAUAUCCUCGGAGAUACAAAUAGCUUUGUUUGUGUGGUGUCAAGGAUUUCUAAAAAAAAAAAAAAAAAAAACAACGGGCUAAUCCUGUUUUUGAUCAAUGAGCCCCUCGUUGGUGAGUUUUCUCCGCACCAGUCAUGUCCAAUUACCUACAUGCCUUUGUUUUUGCUUUCAAAACUCAAAAGAGCUUAGCGGGGCAUUUUAGGGGAUAUACAAAGAAUGUCUGAGGACUCGCCCAACUCCUGAGCCAGACUGGAUGAUCCUGACUGAGCAACUAUUGGAUCACCAGCAAAGUGGAGGAUAACCAGGACAUGAUCGAACUGAGAUUUCAGACCAUGGAAUUUAUUUUCCAAGUCUUUUUUUCUCCAAAGGUAUAUAUGUCAUUUAUCGUUUGAGUGACAACAGAGCAUGCCAAUUUGGCUCAGACAUGACGAGUCCAAGUAGCUUGCAAUGUAAUGCAGAAUGACUAGAUCAAGUUAACUCAGAACCUGUUGCCCCCUCACCUCCAAACUCCUCUCCGCCUUCGAGCUAAUCAACAGCAGCAACAAAUGCUCUGCAAGGUCCCAAGGUCAACUUACAGCCCACACACACCAUUCUCGUCCAGAUAUGUUUUUUUUUGUGUGUGUGUGUGUGUGUGUUCCUUUGGCAUGCUCAGUGUAUUUCAUGGGAGCUUUCUUUGUACUGACAGUAACCUGUAAAUGUAUAUGUAUAUAUAAAUAUAAAAUGUAUAUAUAUGCAUAGUUCCAUACUAAAAGAAAGACUGUGCAGAUCUAACAAAAGCCCCGCAAAAGGAAUGAAUGAGCUCUGAAUGGCGAUCUUUAUCUGAAAUCAUCAUUUCUGUCCCUAUAUGUGGAGUUCUGUGAAUUCCCUUUCUCAAAGGUCGUCAGAGCAAUAUCCUCCUUCUGUAGUGGACAUUUUGCUGUGUUUGCUUGUGUUAGGGGCUUUCUGAAAAAGGUCAUAUGGAUCAGUUGGGAGAGGGAGGGAAAAAAAAGAGAUUCAAUACAUUGUACAACCCAGACCGUUUCAGCCAUAGAGAACUAGAGAUGAAGUAUAUGUUGUUCAAACAAGGCCUGGGCUUCAACUUUAUCUUCUUUGUUUUUCUUUUCACCCUGUUUCAUCUGAUAUUGGGAAUAGAUGUAGACUCGGACAUGCCUGUUACUGUGUAGGUCACACGCAAUGCACCAGAGGAGGAUAGAGGCAAGUGGAUUGCUGAUAAUAAAUCAAACGUCAUGGCAAAAUGAAGCUUUCAUCUCAGCCAGAUACACAGUAACCCCAGUAGAUAUACAUACAGUCCAGUACGGCCUUACCUGAAUAAAAAGAGUUUUCUAUA